AAGCUGAUGCAGCGACGCCGCGUGAGGGAUGACGGCCUUCGGGUUGUAAACCUCUUUCAGUAGGGAAGAAGCGAAAGUGACGGUACCUGCAGAAGAAGCACCGGCUAACUACGUGCCAGCAGCCGCGGUAAUACGUAGGGUGCGAGCGUUAUCCGGAAUUAUUGGGCGUAAAGAGCUCGUAGGCGGUUUGUCGCGUCUGUCGUGAAAGUCCGGGGCUUAACCCCGGAUCUGCGGUGGGUACGGGCAGACUAGAGUGCAGUAGGGGAGACUGGAAUUCCUGGUGUAGCGGUGGAAUGCGCAGAUAUCAGGAGGAACACCGAUGGCGAAGGCAGGUCUCUGGGCUGUAACUGACGCUGAGGAGCGAAAGCAUGGGGAGCGAACAGGAUUAGAUACCCUGGUAGUCCAUGCCGUAAACGUUGGGCACUAGGUGUGGGGACCAUUCCACGGUUUCCGCGCCGCAGCUAACGCAUUAAGUGCCCCGCCUGGGGAGUACGGCCGCAAGGCUAAAACUCAAAGGAAUUGACGGGGGCCCGCACAAGCGGCGGAGCAUGCGGAUUAAUUCGAUGCAACGCGAAGAACCUUACCAAGGCUUGACAUGUUCUCGAUCGCCGUAGAGAUACGGUUUCCCCUUUGGGGCGGGUUCACAGGUGGUGCAUGGUUGUCGUCAGCUCGUGUCGUGAGAUGUUGGGUUAAGUCCCGCAACGAGCGCAACCCUCGUUCCAUGUUGCCAGCACGUAGUGGUGGGGACUCAUGGGAGACUGCCGGGGUCAACUCGGAGGAAGGUGAGGACGACGUCAAAUCAUCAUGCCCCUUAUGUCUUGGGCUUCACGCAUGCUACAAUGGCCGGUACAAUGGGUUGCGAUACUGUGAGGUGGAGCUAAUCCCAAAAAGCCGGUCUCAGUUCGGAUUGGGGUCUGCAACUCGACCCCAUGAAGUCGGAGUCGCUAGUAAUCGCAGAUCAGCAACG
rnacentral:rRNA from 1 species